GCUAAACCUGUUCUUUGUAAGAUAAUAUGAAGCUAAUCAUGUUAAACAAGGCUUGAUUCCUUUGCUUAAAUACAGUUUUGAGUAUAUUAAUCUAAAGCCUAAUGAUUCAAGCAUGUACAUCUCAGCAUUAAAUACAUAAAGAACAGAGAAAAGGUCAUGACUGUAAUGAUUCUCCAAGCUGGGGGGCACCUUUCGGCCUCUACCCCCACGAGACAUUUUCACGGGCAAUUGCAUCUCUUUGUUGUUUACGAAAAAGCCCAAACGGGCAUCUCACCAUCACAAGUCACUACCCCUUCUUUUUCCAAUUUUGUCACUUUCUUGGAUUGUACCUUCCCUCUUCUUUUUCUUCUUCAGCUAAAGAUUGUCAAAACCCUCUUCCAACUAGGCCAUGAGAAUUGUUGAUCAGAAGGUCAGAAUCAUUUUCUAGCAAAAAUGUUUGGUGGGGUAUACACAAUUACCAUACAACAAAAGAAUAAAAGAUUAGGACAUCGCAAUAAUGUUUGUUUGUGUGGAUGUGUCAUAAGCAUGGACAGAGAAGGAAAUAAAGAAUUGAAGGAGGGAAAAAAGUUGCUUUUGGUCUUGAAAUUUUUUUUUUUUUUUACAGUGCUUCUGUGGACAAAAUCAGCAGUAGUACCAUCACUCACCAGAAUGAUUACAUGUAUAAGACAGCUCAGGGAGACAUGGAGAUUGAAUAAAACAAGUAACCCCACAAGUCCACUACUUGCACUUGCUCACAUUUCAACAUUAUAUUGCAGAACUUGUUCUCCCUCUCCCCUUGAAAAUUUUUGACAAAACAUUUCAAGAGGGUUUUGCAGGAUUAACCUUUUAACACCAUCCCCAAACACCCCAGCAGAGGGAAAAUCCUAAAUCAAAACUAAUAUCUAAUAUAAUUGAAAGUAAGAAAAUAAAAAAUGGAAACAACUCUUGAUUACAUGUUAAUUGAUCAUGAUACGUAAGCCCUAAUUGAAUAUGGGACUUUUCUUGGCCGCUGAUGUGAAUCUUGAAGGCGAAGAAGCAAGAGGAAGUACCUGUGAAGUGGAUGAAUGGUACUGUGGAAGGUGGUGAUUUUGAUGAUUAAGUUCUAUUUCUCGGUUCUUAUCAACAUUGAUGGUGAUAAAGGAUCCAUCUUCCUCAUCUUUCUGAAAUUUUGAGGUAGCAUCCUUUUUCGCAUAAGCUUGAGCAAACCCAUCAUUCUUCUGGACCUUUUCCUCCACUUCUUCCCUCAGUUUUCUUCUGUAUAGUUUCUCCUCUGCAUCCUGCAAGAACUUGAAUUUUGGAGGUGGUGAUGACCUUAUCUUGUUAAAUUCUGCAUCUGCUGCUGAUUCAAAGAGAUGGUCCAUAGGAGUAAGAGGAGGUGUGAAAAAUGGUGGGGAAGCAAGAGGGGUUAGAUAUGGAGUUUCUAUAUUGAGAAGCAAAUCACUCAAGCUUCUACUUCUUGAACCUUUUGCACUCUUGUUGUCACCUCUAGAUUUGCCAUCUUCAGACUCUAAAUCCUCCUUUGUUUCUUCAAUAAUUGUGAAGAGAAAUCUUGGUGGACCUGAGAGACUAUUUAGCCUCAUAAGCUGUGUCUCCAUGGGAUCAUCACCUAAGGGCUUGAGCAAUAAAUCUUUGCUUGUAUUAUGAAGCCGAGAAUCUUGCUCAUGGUGGACAAGAGUAUCUGUGAUUCUUACUGAAGAGCAUAGUUCUUGAGAGUGCCUUAAAGAAGAUGGCUUUUUCAAACAGAACAUGUAAAAAAGCUCUCUUGCUGGGUUACUAUACUCAUCUCCAAUGUCUCUAUUGGUAAAUCUUCUCUUCCACCAUAGCAAGUAGUAAAGCUCAGCAACAAGAGCCAAUAGCAGGCAACCAAAAACUACACUCAAACCAAGUCCUACACUACUCAAAGAUUUCAUCUUUUGUUACCUAAUCAAAUCAAUGCUGCUUAAUAUGCACAAAGCUAUCUGUCAAAACUAGCUACAAACCAAUGCAGUUACCAUAAAUAACUUGGAAAAUCAAUCUCAGAAACUGCAAUAAGAGAAGCCAAUAAAGAGAGGGACAAGCUUACUGUGAGAUGCUGACUAGUCCCAAUCUUGCUAAACCCAAGAACCCAGAUCAAAAACUUUGACUGCAACCCAAAGAAACAACAAACUCACUGCUUCUUUUUAGCAAAUGCUUUGCAAACACAAACAUUUCCAACUUUAUCUGCCAAAUACAAAGCUCAGAAACAUAAGCACAUACAUGCCCACCUGCUAAUACCUAUCCAAAAAAGCUCUCUUUCUCUGAAAAUCACAUUCUGAAAUCAUGAAGCAUGAUCAUAAAAGCUUUUUUCUACGAUAAGCCCACAUGAUACUAAGCCACAUACUUGUGGAUGAUUACAUUAUUUUGGCAUAUUAUCUAUCAUUUUAGCCAAAACCCACAAAGCUAUCACAUGCAUUAGUAAAGAUUAAAGGACAUUAACAGCAAUUAAAACCACUGUGAGUUUGCCAAACUGCACACAAAAACAAGGAGCUUCUAGCUAAUAAAAACACAUACCAAUGGAUUGAGGAGGCAAAAGGGUCGGCAAAUUUUCUCACCUUUAUGGUUUGACAGGUCACAUUCUUCAAGGGACAUUCACAUGGGAUCACAAAUAAAAGGAAAUUGAUGUGUCACUGUUCUGUAUUUCUCCUCACUUACACUAUUGCCCCUUGGAACCCAAAAGCUCGUGCUUUAGGAACGUCAGGCACUCGAUAAACUAG
rnacentral:misc_RNA from 1 species